rnacentral:rRNA from 1 species
AUACGGAGGAUCCGAGCGUUAUCCGGAUUUAUUGGGUUUAAAGGGAGCGUAGGCGGGUGCUUAAGUCAGUUGUGAAAGUUUGCGGCUCAACCGUAAAAUUGCAGUUGAUACUGGGCGCCUUGAGUGCAGCAUAGGUAGGCGGAAUUCGUGGUGUAGGGGGGAAAUGCUUAGAUAUCACGAAGAACUCCGAUUGCGAAGGCAGCUUACUGGACUGUAACUGACGCUGAUGCUCGAAAGUGUGGGUAUCAAACAGGAUUAGAUACCCUGGUAGUCCACACAGUAAACGAUGAAUACUCGCUGUUGGCGAUACACAGUCAGCGGCCAAGCGAAAGCAUUAAGUAUUCCACCGGGGGAGUACGCCGGCAACGGUGAAACUCAAAUGAAUUGGCGGGG